UACGUAGGGUGCAAGCGUUGUCCGGAAUUAUUGGGCGUAAAGAGCUCGUAGGCGGUCUGUCGCGUCUGCUGUGAAAACUCAGGGCUUAACCCUGAGCUUGCAGUGGGUACGGGCAGACUAGAGUGCGGUAGGGGAGACUGGAAUUCCUGGUGUAGCGGUGAAAUGCGCAGAUAUCAGGAGGGAACACCGGUGGCGAAGGCGGGUCUCUGGGCCGUAACUGACGCUGGAGGAGCG
rnacentral:rRNA from 1 species